GACCUCACUUGGUGUACUGUGUGCAGUUCUGGUGUCCUCAACAUAAAAAGGACAUGGAACUGUUGGAAGAAGUCCAGAGGAGGGCCACAAGGAUGAUCAGGGGACUGGAGCACCUCCUGUAUGAAGACAGGCUGAGAAAUUGGGGCUGUUCAGCCCGGAGAAGAGAAGGCUGCGUGAGGACCUCAUAACAGCCUUCCAGUAUCUGAAGGGGGCCUGUAAGGAUGACAAGAGGGACUCUUCAUUAGGGACUGUAGUGAUAGGACAAGGGGUAACGGGUUCAAACUUAAACAGAAGUUCAUGUAUCUAACAUAGGGAAGAAAUACUUUACUGUGAGAGUGGUGAGAAACUGGAACAGGCAGCCCAAGGAAUCUGUGGAUGCCUCAUCUCUGGCAGUGUUCAAGAACAGGUUGGACAGGACGCUGAGCAACCUGGUCUAGUGGAAGGUGUCCCUGCCCAUGGCAGGGGGGUUGGAACUAGAUGAUCUUAAGGUCCUUUCCAACCCAAAUCAUUCUAUGAUUCUAAGUUUGCUAAUUAUGAUUCCCCUGAGUUCACUGAAAUUGCAACUCUGAUUUACUCCAAGGGGAAAUCAGAAUCUGACCUCAAGUUAUUUCUGCUUUCUGGAGUGCUGCAUUGUCCAUGCCUCAUAUUUUAGAGACUGAUUUUUGUCUUGCAAACAUGUGGCUUAUUUUGUCCUUAAUUAUAUCUGAGAGUGAAAUAUACCUCUUGGGUUUUGGACCACCUAUCUUUGUAUUAGUUGCUCAGUGUCUAUUUUAUUAAUAAAUGUAUUUUUACUA